rnacentral:rRNA from 1 species
GAUGAACGCUGGCGGCGUGCUUAACACAUGCAAGUCGAACGAUGAAGCCCAGCUUGCUGGGUGGUUUAGUGGCGAACGGGUGAGUAACACGUGAGUAACCUGCCCUUAACGCUGGGAUAAGCCUGGGAAACUGGGUCUAAUACCGGAAAGGAGUGUCCACCGCAUGGGGGGUGUUUGGAAGAUUUAUCGGUUUUGGAUGGGCACGCGGCCUAUCCGCUUGUUGGGGAGGAAAGGGCUCACCAAGGCGACGCCGGGUAGCCGGCCUGAGAGGGGGACCGGCCACCCUGGGACUGAGACACGGCCCAGACUCCUACGGGAGGCAGCAGUGGGGAAUAUUGCACAAUGGGCGCAAGCCUGAUGCAGCGACGCCGCGUGAGGGAUGACGGCCUUCGGGUUGUAAACCGCUUUCAGUAGGGAAGAAGCGAAAGUGACGGUACCUGCAGAAUAAGCACCGGCUAACUACGUG